AUUGAACGCUGGCGGCAUGCUUUACACAUGCAAGUCGAACGGUAACAGGUUAAGCUGACGAGUGGCGAACGGGUGAGUAAUGCGUCGGAACGUACCCGGUCGUGGGGGAUAACGCAGCGAAAGUUGCGCUAAUACCGCAUACGAUCUGAGGAUGAAAGCGGGGGACCGUAAGGCCUCGCGCGAUCGGAGCGGCCGAUGUCAGAUUAGGUAGUUGGUGGGGUAAAGGCUCACCAAGACAACGAUCUGUAGCUGGUCUGAGAGGACGACCAGCCACACUGGGACUGAGACACGGCCCAGACUCCUACGGGAGGCAGCAGUGGGGAAUUUUGGACAAUGGGCGAAAGCCUGAUCCAGCAAUGCCGCGUGCAGGAAGAAGGCCUUCGGGUUGUAAACUGCUUUUGUACGGAGCGAAAAGGUCUCCUCUAAUACAGGGGGCUCAUGACGGUACCGUAAGAAUAAGCACCGGCUAACUACGUGCCAGCCGCCGCAGUAA
rnacentral:rRNA from 1 species